CACUCGAUGGCACACGGUGUGCGCCUGCCAGUGGUGCGUAGCCAUCUCCGGAGUUUUAAGCAGGAGGCCCCGGUUCGAUUCCGGGUCGGGUGU